AAGGUUGGAACGUUCCUGUCCCCGGUCAGUCUCCCGUACAGACACACAGAGACAGUGUUACAGAUACUCGCAGUGGAACCGUUCCAGCCUGGCCUGUUGAUUCGUGCUGACACAACAGAGCGAUCAUCAACUGUGGAGAGCGGGAAAUAUUUUAUCUGCCAGGAAUCGAUGGUGACCUUCGACCUGAUGAUGUCAUGACUCAUGAUACGUGCCAGCCCAGCCCCACCAGUCUGCAUCGGAGAGGCUCCAUCAACCACAGCAACCGAGGGGAAUGAGGUGGGGCAGCUAGGAUGAACGAUCCAUACGACUUGGGCAUUUUACGAUGAAAGCAUCAGAUUUGGGUCAUAUGUUGGUUUUGAUUUAAUGAAACAUUAAAGAUAUGAAGGGGCUGUGAAUUUGGACCCUGGGGGGCCAUGGCAGCUAUUUUUUUAAAUGGCUACCAAAUACCCGCUAAGCAAGAUUCAACCAGGUUAAACAGGUUUCAAUGAGUCUUGACAAUUGCCAAAACGAGUUGUCUGGUAAGAUGAGAUGUCAGAAAAACAGACUUCAAUGCUUGUCAGAAUUCUUCCCUUUACUUUCCCUCAAUAUGGAAUGACAAGAAAUAAAUACAA